rnacentral:rRNA from 1 species
UACGAACUGUGCGAACGUUAUUCGGAAUCACUGGGCUUAAAGGGUGCGUCGGCGGCUGCCUCAGUCAGGUGUGAAAUCUCUCGGCUCAACCGGGAAACUGCGCUUGAUACUGGGCGGCUCGAGUGAGGUAGGGGUGUGUGGAACUUCCGGUGGAGCGGUGAAAUGUGUAGAUAUCGGAAGGAACGCCAGCAGCGAAAGCGGCACACUGGGCCUUUUCUGACGCUUAGGCACGAAAGCCAGGGGAGCGAACGGG